CCUACGGGGGGCAGCAGUAGGGAAUUUUGCGCAAUGGGCGAAAGCCUGACGCAGCAACGCCGCGUGAUCGAGACGCCCUUCGGGGUGUAAAGCUCUGUUCGUGGGGACGAAACUUGACGGUACCCACACAGGAAGCACCGGCUAACUCCGUGCCAGCAGCCGCGGUAAUACGGGGGGUGCAAGCGUUGUCCGGAAUCAUUGGGCGUAAAGAGUUCGUAGGCGGCAUGUCAAGUCUGGUGUUAAAGGCGGAGGCUCAACUUCUGUACGGCACUGGAAACUUGCGAGCUAGAAUGCGGUAGAGGAGAGUGGAAUUCCUGGUGUAGCGGUGAAAUGCUUAGAUAUCAGGAGGAACAUCAGUGGCGUAAGCGCUUUACUGGGCCGUAAUUGACGCUGAGGAACGAAAGCCAGGGUAGCAAAUAGGAUUAGAUACCCCUGUAGUC
rnacentral:rRNA from 1 species